CACUUCAGAAGAUGAAUACAGAUGCUGACAUUGUUUCAGCUUGGAUUAAUUGAUAGUUUUUAAAAACAAAACUUUUUUUUGUUCACAGCACAGUUAAGCAGCUACCCUUCAGUGUUGUGCAUUUACAGAUUGAGCCAAAAAACGUCCAGAAGAAAAUGGGGGCAGGAAGUUCCAGACAGAGAGAAAUUGAGCUGCAAAGAAGAGCAAAGGAACUGGAUGAAAGAGCGAGGGAACUGGAUAGAAGAGCGACGGAAGGGAAGACAAAAGCUCCUAAGUGUUGUGGUUGCUGCUUCAUUCAAAUAUCAUCACAGAAGACAGAUCAAUCAACUAACAUGAUCAAUUCACAAGUCAGUAAUGAUAAAAAUUCACAUAUUGAAGGUAGGUUAGGUUUUAGUUUCAGUCCAAGAGUUGUGUAACUCAUCAGACCCUCACACUCACCAGACUACAUUUCCCAUCAUCUAUUUUGUAUUACCUUACUUAAAAUAUUAUGCAUGACUAUGAAAGUAAUUAAUAUACUGAUCAAUAUGCUGAAUUGUCCCUAAAUACUGAUUGGAUGUAUAAAGGCCCUCCCAUUGGGCAGCACUGCUUUUUCCAUUGAACUGCAUCUGUUAACUGAAGCAUUCCUAUGAACUUUGGAUGAUUUCCAGAAGUUGACAGAUUCAAUGAAUGUCUCCUGGGAUCACCGCCAACCAAUACUAGGCAGAAAGUUGAUAUGGCCAAGUUUCAUCAUUAAGAAAUACCAGAUGGGCAAGUAAUAAAUUGUGGAAAACCAGACAAGGAUAGCCAAUAAAAAUAAUCCGGAACUACCAAUUAUGAUAAGAAAGAAGGGUAUGAAUAAGUGCGUAGUGCCUAAGAGGGGCCUAAAAUCCAUGUUUUCCCUAUUUAAAGACAGUUACAUGAGUAGUUAUACGAGUAACUAUAAUGACACAAAAUAAAACGUGGCGAUUUUAUAAGCGGAUAAAAAAAGAUUACUAUAAUGUAUGGCGGAAGAGCACUUUGCAGCACUUCGACCUCGGCGUAGUAAUAUCAACUCGUCACGUUGGUUGUAUUGAAGGAAGUUAGAGGGAGACGGAAAGUUUUCAGGAGAAAAUAAAAGGCCAAAUGACAUAGAAGGACAUGUAGUACUACUGAUUCAAAGAACAAAAUAAUAGAGCCACAGGGUGACGCAAGAGAAGUUGAGAAGGGUAGUUUAAUUGAAAAACGUUGUAUACAAAGGAAGCUGGUCAAAGGCUUACGAUCAAUGAUGAAACAAGCAGGAAAUUCAUAAGCCAUUUACAGAGUCCUCUCAUUUCCCAAUAAAAUAAUAUAAAUAUCUUCAAAUUGUGUGUGCUGCCAUUAUGACAGGCAUCCAGUGGAUGGUGAUGUUUUUUAAAUAAUGGAUUCAAAGACAGUUUAAUUACUAAAAGAAACAAAAGAACAGAUGAUAAUUAGAAUGUGGUUUCAACACGAUACUCGUAUAAGGUUUAGUGACAUUUAUUAUUCUAGUUAGAAUGGAAAUUAUAGCAGGAGCGUAGUAACCAAGAAAACAACAUCUGUUAAGACAAGAGACUGUGUAUAUUAUAUAGAUAUGAAUCUAGAUAUAUAUAGAGAGAUGAAAUAUAUAGAGAGACACGCCAGAUGACUAUGACUAUUAUACAGUGACCUGUAAUUUGAUCCUUUGCAGAGUUUCUGAUAUUUCUGGAAAUCACCAAAAUGUGGAUGAUAAAGCUACACUGU